rnacentral:rRNA from 1 species
UGCAGCAACGCCGCGUGAGUGAUGACGGCCUUCUCGGGUUGUAAAGCUCUGUCUUUAGGGACGAUAAUGACGGUACCUAAGGAGGAAGCCACGGCUAACUACGUGCCAGCAGCCGCGGUAAUACGUAGGUGGCAAGCGUUGUCCGGAUUUACUGGGCGUAAAGGGAGCGUAGGUGGAUUCUUAAGUGAGAUGUGAAAUACCCGGGCUUAACUUGGGUGCUGCAUUUCAAACUGGAAUCUAGAGUGCAGGAGAGGAAAGUGGAAUUCCUAGUGUAGCGGUGAAAUGCGUAGAGAUUAGGAAGAACACCAGUGGCGAAGGCGACUUUCUGGACUGUAACUGACACUGAGGCUCGAAAGCGUGGGAGGCAAACAGGAUUAGAUACCCUGGUAGUCCACGCCGGUAAACGAUGGAUACUAGGUGUGGGAGGUAUCAACUCCUUCCGUGCCGCCGUUAACACAUUAAGUAUCCCGCCUGGGGAGUACGGUCGCAAGAUUAAAACUCAAAGGAAUUGACGGGGACCCGCACAAGCAGCGGAGCAUGUGGUUUAAUUCGAAGCAACGCGAAGAACCUUACCUAGACUUGACAUCUCCUGAAUUACUCUUAAUCGAGGAAGUCCCUUCGGGGACAGGAAGACAGGUGGUGCAUGGUUGUCGUCAGCUCGUGUCGUGAGAUGUUGGGUUAAGUCCCGCAACGAGCGCAACCCUUAUUGUUAGUUGCUACCAUUUAGUUGAGCACUCUAGCGAGACUGCCCGGGUUAACCGGGAGGAAGGUGGGGAUGACGUCAAAUCAUCAUGCCCCUUAUGUCUAGGGCUACACACGUGCUACAAUGGCUGGUACAAAGAGAAGCAAGACCGUGAGGUGGAGCAAAACUCAAAAACCAGUCCCAGUUCGGAUUGUAGGCUGAAACUCGCCUACAUGAAGCCGGAGUUGCUAGUAAUCGCGAAUCAGCAUGUCGCGGUGAAUACGUUCCCGGGUCUUGUACACACCGCCCGUCACACCAUGAGAGUUGGCAAUACCCGAAGUCUGUGAGCUAACCUGUAAAGGGGGCAGCGGCCGAAGGUAGGGUCAGCGAUUGGGGUGAAGUCGUAACAAGGUAGCCGUAGGAGAACCUGCGGCUGGAUCACCU